GGCAGACCAGUUUGCAGCAUAGUUGGAGCAGCCCACGGAACAGCAAGCGAGCGGAGUGGAGUGGUUUGCGGGGACAGGUGGAGCAGCUCACAGGUCAGCUGAAGGAGCGGCGCAGCUGGUGGAGCUGCUGGUGGAGUGGAG